CGGCGAGUGGAACAGGGAAAAGCCCAGCACCGAAGCCUGUGGCCGUUUGGUUACUAGGCAAUGUGGUGUUUAGGUCGUCCUUCGGGGAUGUUACCUCACUCCAAGUCCAGCAAUGAGUAUGGUUAUUCAGACUUGGCCCAGAGAGGGUGAAAGGCCCGUGGGGGUGAGGUUCAAUUGUGUUAGCAUCUCCCUAGGUAGACCUUGGAGUCGGGUUGUUUGUGAUUGCAGCCCAAAGUGGGUGGUAAACUCCAUCCAAGGCUAAAUACUUGCACGAGUCCGAUAGCGAACAAGUACCGUGAGGGAAAGUUGAAAAGUACUUUGAAGAGAGAGUAAACAGUGCGUGAAACCGCUCAGAGGUAAACGGGUGGAGUUGAACUGCAAGCUUUGAGAAUUCAGCUGGUGAGUGUGAUUUGGGCAUUCAGCUGGUGAGUGUGUCAUGGGCUUGGUCAUUUUUCGGCCGGCCUCUAGAGUCCGCUUAGCUGCGGGUCCUUGCUCUUUCGGGGGUAGGGAUGUGCGUUGCGCUUGUCAAGUGCUGUGCGCUCUGGGGGUUACCGGGCUGGCUUGCCAGUGCACUUUCUCGGAGUGGUCACCACGACCGGCGUUGUUGCCGUGCUGCUGUAGUCGAACUAGUCAGGUAUGGUCCUUGUGGCUGAAUUUGGCUAGGAUGGCAGGUAGCUCAUUGGUUGGCUUGCCAACCUUUGGGUGUAAUCAGCUGACUGCAGUGGUUUUGUGCAAUACGUCGGAGACGGCGGCUUCAGGUGUUUGCUUAUGUGCCGUUGGCUGGCAGUGUCGGGUUUGACUGGCGUGUUACUUGCUUCGGUAGGUCCGUCGGUAGCUCGGUGCUGUUUGGUUGGCGGUUGCAUUUGUGAUACCAUUAUUGGGCCCAUAGUCUGUGGUGUAGCAGCAAACGAUCCACCUGACCCGUCUUGAAACACGGACCAAGGAGUUUAACAUGUGCGCGAGUCAUUGGGCGUUACGAAACCCAAAGGCGUAGUGAAAGUAAAGGUUCGGCUUGUCCGAGCUGAGGUGAGAUCCUGUGGCUUCUCGUGCGAGGUACCACCAAGCAUGUGAGUUGCAGGCGCAUCACCAGCCCGUCUCAUGGUGUAGUCGCGUGGCCUUGUGUCGCGUGCGUCAUCGGGGCGGAGCCUGAGCGCACACGUUGAGACCCGAAAGAUGGUGAAUCUAUGCNUGCGCAGGUUGAAGCCAGAGGAAACUCUGGUGGAGGAUCCNCAGGCGAUUCUGACGUGCAAAUCGAUCGUCUAACGUGAGUAUA
rnacentral:rRNA from 1 species